rnacentral:rRNA from 1 species
UACGUAGGGUGCAAGCGUUGUCCGGAAUUAUUGGGCGUAAAGAGCUCGUAGGCGGUGUGUCGCGUCGGCCGUGAAAACCUGGGGCUCAACCCCGGGCCUGCAGCCGAUACGGGCAGACUAGAAUUCGGUAGGGGAGAUUGGAAUUCCUGGUGUAGCGGUGGAAUGCGCAGAUAUCAGGAGGAACACCGAUGGCGAAGGCAGAUCUCUGGGCCGUUACUGACGCUGAGGAGCGAAAGCGUGGGGAGCGAACAGG